rnacentral:rRNA from 1 species
CCUAACACAUGCAAGUCGAGCGCAGGAAGCAAGCUGAUCCCCUUCGGGGGUGACGCUUGUGGAAUGAGCGGCGGACGGGUGAGUAACACGUGGGCAACCUGCCUGUAAGACUGGGAUAACCCCGGGAAACCGGGGCUAAUACCGGAUAAUACUUUCUUUUGCAUAAAGGAAAGUUGAAAGGCGGCUUCGGCUGUCACUUACAGAUGGGCCCGCGGCGCAUUAGCUAGUUGGUGAGGUAACGGCUCACCAAGGCGACGAUGCGUAGCCGACCUGAGAGGGUGAUCGGCCACACUGGGACUGAGACACGGCCCAGACUCCUACGGGAG